CACAGGGAGGUAGUGACAGUAAAUAACAAUGCAGGGCCCUCUGGGUCUUGCAAUUGGAAUGAGAACAAUUUAAAUCCCUUAUCAAGUAACAAUUGGAGGGCAAGUCUGGUGCCAGCAGCCGCGGUAAUUCCAGCUCCAAUAGCGUAUAUUAAAGUUGUUGCAGUUAAAAAGCUCGUAGUUGGACCUUGGGCAAUGGGGUCAGGUCGGCCGCAAGGCGUGACUUGGUCGCGGCGCCUCUUUGGGGCGGGGUUCGUCGUUCGCGGCGAGUCAUCAGCCCCGGGUUACUGUGAAGAAAUUAGAGUGUUUAAAGCAGGCGUUUGCUUGGAUACAUCAGCAUGGAAUAACAAGAUAGGACCGAGUUCUACUUGUUGGUUUGGGGGCUUUGGUAAUGAUUAAUAGGGCCAGUUGGGGGCAUUAGUAUUCAGUAGUCAGAGGUGAAAUUCUUGGAUUUACUGAAGACUAACUAGUGCGAAAGCAUUUGCCAAGGAUGUUUUCAUUAAUCAAGAACGAAAGUUAGGGGAUCGAAGACGAUCAAAUACCGUCGUAGUCUUAACUAUAAACGAUGCCGACUAAGGAUCGGCAGAAGUCGUUUGCGACUCUGUCGGCACUUUGUGAGAAAUCAAAGUUUUUGGGUUCUGGGGGGAGUAUGGUCGCAAGGCUGAAACUUAAAGGAAUUGGCGGAAGGGCACCACCAGGAGUGGAGCCUGCGGCUUAAUUUGACUCAACACGGGAAAACUCACCAGGUCCGGACAUAGUAAGGAUUGACAGAUUGAGAGCUCUUUCUUGAUUCUGUGGGUGGUGGUGCAUGGCCGUUCUUAGUUGGUGGAGUGAUUUGUCUGGUUAAUUCCGAUAACGAACGAGACCUUAACCUGCUAACUAGUUGCGAGUACGAGAGUAUUUGACACUUCUUAGAGGGACUGACUAUGGUUAAUAGUCGGAAGUUUGAGGCAAUAACAGGUCUGUGAUGCCCUUAGAUGUUCUGGGCUGCACGCGCGCUACACUGACAAAGCCAGCGAGUGAUACCUUGGCCGAGAGGUCUGGGUAAUCUUCUGAAACUUCAUCGUGCUGGGGAUAGUCCUUUGCAAUUAUUGGACUUCAACGAGGAAUUCCUAGUAAGCGUGAGUCAUCAGCUCGCGUUGAUUACGUCCCUGCCCUUUGUACACACCGCCCGUCGCUACUACCGAUUGAAUGGCUUAGUGAGGC
rnacentral:rRNA from 1 species